rnacentral:lncRNA from 1 species
UGUCAGAGACGAUGUGAAGAGUUCCUAAUAUAAUAUUCUUUGGUAAUAACUAUUAUAUUACAGUCAUAAAUUUUCCUAAUAUAUCUCUAUUUAUAUGUGACUGGUGAUAAAACAUGGAUUUGUGUGGUUGCCAUUUGUGGCUCACCCAAUAAUGUGGUUUACCAUGAUUUUCCUAAGGAUUGCUUAAGGAGACAGAUUUGGGAAAGAGCCUCCCAUCGAAAGGUUCACCUUGGAAAAACACCCAGAAUUUGUGAAAAUCAUUUUGAGGAAUUCAACUAUGAGAGAGAUUUAAGGAAUUAACUAUUGGACUUGCAUUUAAUAAGAAAAUUAAAAUCGGAUAUUAUUCCUUCAAAAAAUCUUGUACCAGGAGAAAAACCUCUCCCGACCCCAAGCGAAAGGGAAGCAAAAAAGAAAAGAAAGGAUUUUGUCGUUUCCAUUUUGAAGGCAAGUGAAAAAAUAACUUAAAUUCCCAAUUAUUUUGCACCAGCUGUUGUUCCUGAUUUUGUUGAGCUUAAAUUGGUAGAAACCUCUGUUCACACGUCCUUGAAGCUAGCCAACUCAUCGUUUCGUAACAAAGUAAAAAUAUACCACACGCCCAAACUUAUACAGCGAAAACGACCAAUUCAUACAGCCAAGCGAGUGGAUCUCAGAAUUUAAAAAUUACUUGAGCAACCGUGACAAAAGAAUAUCUCCUGACUCAAGAACUCAUGUCUCUUAGGAAAAAAAAAUCAACAACUUCAGGAAACCGUUAAGAUCCUCCAAUUAGAGAGCAAGAAGCUGAAAUCUAGAUCAUAUUUUCAAGAGUCAAUGAAAAUUUAUUUUACUAAGGUUCAAAAUAAAACUCAUUGUCAGCGAGAUAGAAUAAAAAUGAUAUUAUUCAGGUACUGGUACUCAAGUAUAUCUCCUCAAAAGCUUACAGAUAUAUUUAGUCCGGUUGCAUUCUUCUGGUUCAUUGUAUUUCAACAUUAAAAAGCAGGAUACAAAAUUUUAAAACAAUGCCGGUUAUUCGAUCUAACAUUAGUGAAACUAUUUCUCAACAAUUAAGAUCAACAAAAGUUCCAAAUGGAAACCUUGCCGAUGAAAUUAAGAUGAAGGAGGAAGCCUCCAAUUCUAUUUACGAUCAAAGGAACUAUAAUCCAAAGAAAAAUAUUCAGUGAAAUAAAAGUUAAUUGAGGAACAAAGAGGAAUUCUUCUUUCUAUGAUAAAUGUGGAAAAAUGAAACAAAUUAAAAGAAAUGGCAAUAACAAAAUUAUCCUAUCCAAAUCAUUUAUCUUAAAGCCGAUGAUGGCGUUGUAUGAAGAUGUAAAAAAUGAAAUUCAGCUUCCCUAUGUAUUGAUAUCUCGCCUGAAUUAGGAUGGCCUUGAAAACUUUUUUCCCAGAAUUAUAAACAUUGGUCGAACUAACUCUUAUCCUUAUGUUAUAGAAUCAAUAGAUCGAUUUUGUAUUAUUGUAAUCAGUGGCUCUGAAAAGCUAAUUGUUGAAAAUGCUCCAGUUAAUUUUCAAAAUGACGAUCACUCUCAUUUCAUGAUUCAACAAGUCACAGGAAGUAUAUUGGAUGAAAAAGAUUAAAAAGAAAAUCAGGAAUCUAUAACAGAGGAAAUGUUGAAUCUUGUAGUGAAGAUCAAAAUAUAAACUACAAUGUAAGAGAUUUGACAAGUAUUCCCAACAAAAUCAACUCUCAGGAAGAAGGAUUUAUAUACGUUGUGGGUUACGUGGCCAAAAAUCUCCACUCAAAUUCCCAACAUUAGGAAUCCAUACCUCAUAUCUUAAUGCUCCGCCUAGUCCAUCGCUUCAAACUUUAUCAAGAGGGGGAUUAAUUCAGCCAUUUAAAGAAUGUAUAAGCUUUUCAAAGAAAAUGGAAGACGAAUUUAAUCAACUCCACGGCGGCUAUGUCGAUACAUAACCAUUUGUUAUGGAUAUUUUAAUAAAAAUUAUUCAAAGUAAAUACACAAAUGAACCUCCUGAAGUUAUAAAAAAUUUA